GUAUGCAGACUCUAUAAUCAAUAGUUGGUGUAUGGAAGACAAUACACAAUCCCAGUCCCUUCCCAACAAUGCCUUAUAAGAGAAAACCAAUUCAAUCACAAAGAAAGUGGCAUCAAGACUUUGGUUCCCAUUUGAAGGUGGACCAGCAAUGCCCCCUUCAGCUUGCAAGAGUCAACCAUAAAAUUGAUAAUUAUGACAAUUGCCAUUAACAAAUACUCUUCACUUUUGUCGAGCUUCCUUACAAUUGAAACCAGCAUAAUACUAACAUCAGGAGCACCCAUC
rnacentral:lncRNA from 1 species